rnacentral:rRNA from 1 species
AAUAGAUACCCCGGUAGUCCACGCCGUAAACGAUGAGUGCUAAGUGUUAGGGGGUUUCCGCCCCUUAGUGCUGCAGCUAACGCAUUAAGCACUCCGCCUGGGGAGUACGGUCGCAAGACUGAAAACUCAAAGGAAUUGACGGGGGCCCGCACAAGCGGUGGAGCAUGUGGUUUAAUUCGAAGCAACGCGAAGAACCUUACCAGGUCUUGACAUCCCGCUGACCGCUAUGGAGACAUAGUUUUCCCUUCGGGGACAGCGGUGACAGGUGGUGCAUGGUUGUCGUCAGCUCGUGUCGUGAGAUGUUGGGUUAAGUCCCGCAACGAGCGCAACCCUUGUUCUUAGUUGCCAUCAUUUAGUUAGGCACUCUAAGGAGACUGCCGGUGACAAACCGGAGGAAGGUGGGGAUGACGUCAAAUCAUCAUGCCCCUUAUGACCUGGGCUACACACGUGCUACAAUGGACGGUACAAACGGUCGCGAAGUCGCGAGACGGAGCCAAUCCGAUAAACCGUUCUCAGUUCGGAUUGUAGGCUGCUAACUCGCCUAC